ACACAAAUAUAAAGACAGCAUGUGACUGGUAUGGACCACAUCACUCCAGGGCCUGUACCGCAUGCCUCGUGAAUUAAAUCAUGUCAUUGUCAGGAGUCAGCGGAGCUGCGGGCGGAUAACUCUUCCUGACGCAUUGCGUGAGAGAACAGACACGCACCAAGAAGUUCUGCUCCUGCUGUCCCUCUGGAGCACUCCUGGCAAUUUUGGGGGAAGGCUUCUGCCACUGUGCAGCUCUCCUCUCCCUCCAAAGGCAAACCCCGCUCCCAGCUAAGUUUUGUAUCUCUUUGCACUCCCACAAAAGCCAAUAAAGUUUUUUCCUGUCUUUGAUGGUGAGACCAA